AAUAGUCCUUUAAUUGGGGGCUUGGAUGAAAGGUUUGACGGAUGAGAAGCUGUCUCUUUAGUUGUAUUGAAUUUAACGUUUGUGUGAAAAGGCAUUAAUGUUUUAGGGGGACGAUAAGACCCUAUAAAACUUAACAUGUGUGAUGCUAGUUUUUAGAAUUGUUUAUAUUAAUUAUAGGGUAGUUGGGUGUGUUUUGCUGGGGCGGCAUAGAUAUAAUUUGUAACUGUCUUGGAAUGGAAAUAUUUAUUGAUAGAUGGUGGUCCUUUAUUAGGGAGUGAAGAGUAAGUUACUUUAGGGAUAACAGCGUGAUUUUCCUUGAGAGUUCUUAUCGAAGGGAGUAGUUGUGACCUCGAUGUUGAAUUAAAUUUUCCUUUUGGUGUAGGAGUUACUGUGGAGGGCCUGUUCGGCCUAUAAAUAUUUA
rnacentral:rRNA from 1 species